rnacentral:tRNA from 1 species
GGCCGUCGCCAAGUGGUAAGGCACCGGGUUUUGAUCCCGGCAUUCGUAGGUUCGAUCCCUACCCGGCCA